UUAUUAGGGAGAAUUGGCUCACAUGAUCACAAGGCCAAGUUCCACGAUAAGCCAUCUGCAAGCUGAGGAAGAAACCAGUAGAGGCUCAGUCGAGUUCAAAAGCCACAGAACCAGGGAAGCCUACAGUGCAGACUUCAGUCUACGCCCGAAGGCCCAAGAGCCCCUGGCAAACCACUGUUGUAAGUCUAAGAGUCCAAAGGCCGAAAAACCUGAAGUUUGAUGUCCAAGGGCAGGAGGAGGGGAAGGAAGCAUCCAGCACGGGAGAAAGAAGAAAACCAGAAGACUCAGCAAUCAAGCUCCACUCUCUACCCUUCAUGCUCUGCGAAGAUGACCCUGUGGACUGCAUCAAUUGGGCCCCAUUGACUUCUGACUUCCAAUGAGAGGCACCAGUAGAAAAUAGCCCCAUUCAUUUUCCUGCUUUCUUUACUGCUUGGAUGAUAGUGGUGGCUUCAUUCUUGGAGAGGAAAGAGCUGGAAGACAAGGACAGAGAAGGAGUAGCACUCACUGUUUAUGAUCAUGUUGAGUUUCCAAUCCCCUUAUUAUAACCAACUAGAAAAAAUUUUCAGGUGUUCAGACUCAGACUGGAGCUCUACCAUUGGCUCUCCUGGGUCUCCGUUUUGCCAACUGGAGAUCCUGGGAUUCUGGGAGAGAUGGGAUUUUGUGUAACCUGUCUUAGCUUCCUUGGAUUUGGGGCCUUAACAAUACAUGACAGAAUCUUGCCCUGUCACCAGGCUGGAGUGCACUGGCAUGAUCUCGGCUCACUGCAACCUCCGACUCCCUGGUUCAAGCAAUUCUCCUGUCUCAGCCUCCAGAGUAGCUGAGAUUACAGGCAUACACCACCACCCCCAACUAAUUUUUGUAUUUUUGGUAGAGACAGGGUUUCACCAUGUUGGACAAGAUGGCCUCGAUAUCCUGACCUCAUGAUCCGCCCACCUCGGCCACCCAAAGUGCUGGGAUUACAGGCAUGAGCCACCACGCCUGGCUUACAUGACAUUUUAAUAAAUAAAUGUAUAACCCACAUUCCAUUUUUUUUAAGACAGUCUCUGUUGCAUAGGCUGGAGUGUAAUGGCGUGGUCUAGGGGCUCACUGCAACCUCUGCCUCCCCGGUGCAAGUGAUUCUCCUGCCUCAGUCUCCGGAGUAGCCAGGACUACAGGCGCCCGCCACCAUGCCCUGCUAAUUUUUUUGUAUUUUUUGUAGAGACGGGGGUUUUACCAUGUUGACCAGGGUGGUCUCAAACUCCUGACCUCAAGGGAUCCACCUGCCUUGGCCUCUCAAACUGCUGGGAUUACGGGCAUGAACCAUUGCGCCCAGCCUUGUAACCCACAUUCUUAGAAACAUUUCUAUCACCCUUAUAUGUUCCUUUGUGCUCCUUGUCUUCCCCAGCUCCCACCCCAAACAAGUAGACAACCACUUUUCUAAUUUCUUUCACUAUUUAUUAGGUUUACCUCUCUUAGAACUUCAUAUGAAUUGAAUCAUAAAGUAGAUACUCUUUUAUAUGUUUUCUUUCAUUGAGCAUAAUUUUUUGAGAUUCAUCCAUGCUGUUUUAUGUUUUAGUAGUAUAUUUGAUUUUAUUGCUGAGUGUUAUAGACUAAAUAUGCAUUUCCCUCCAAAGGGCAUGUGUGGUGGACUUACACCCCAGGGUCAUGGGAUUAGGAAGCAGGACCUUUGCAAAGGAAUUAGGUUUAAAUAAAAUCAUUGAGAGUGAAACCCCCAUGAUGGGAUUAGUACCCUUAUAAGAGAAAGAAACCUCAGAACUUCCUCUUUCUUCCAUGUGAAAAAAUACAGCAAGAAGGCAGACAUCUUCGAGCCAGGAAGAGGACCUUUUCUGAAAACUCAACCAUGCUGCCAUCCUGAUCUUCAUCUUUCCAGACUAGAGAACUGGGAUAAAUACGAUCUCUGUUGUUAUUGAUCUUCAAUAAACAGAAAAUGGAAACCCUAAAACAGUACCAUUAUCCACUUAGAAUACAGCAGGCUGAAACCAGCAACAAAAUGAAGAUAUAUAUUUCCAGCCUAUAUUUUGAGCAUCGUGGAACUUUCUGGAUGCAGCACAAACCAGGGGGGAGUUACCAUUCUGUAGGAAUUGUGGCCAAUGUGGAUAAAGAACUACCACUGAAAAGAUGGAAGCCUACAGAACAGACCAAAAGAUAAAUGUUCUCUGAGUUUCUAAAAUGCUUAGAUGGGUUUCAUGACUUUUGCACCUUCUGAAACUGAAUUUUCUAUUAAUGAAACCACAAAAAUAAUAUGAUAUUUUUGGGAGUUUAUACUCAAAGUUGGCUAACAAUAAUGAAGUGGAAUGGAGACACUUAGGGACUCUAUUAUAGAUGGCAUGACAGGAAUAGAUAGCAUAAAUAAUUGGUAUCUUUAAACUCCUGAGGCCGACUCUAAACAAUAUCUUUCAUAUCUAUGUUCUCCUUCUUUUAAAUCCAUGUAUUUCAUAAGUCCUGAUAACUUAAAUGAUUGAAUUCCACAAAGGUGUCCUGACUCAGCUCACCCUCUCCUGGAGGUGUUAAUGAACAGUGAAACAGUGACGAAAACAGUAGCAGAGUGAAUAAAGGAGCUGAUGGGAACAAAAGAUUGUGUUUUGUUUAUUUGAUCUUUAAAAUAUAGAGUAUUGAUAUUGUCAUAAUAAAAGCUAAGGCAUAGAAUGCAUUUAAUCCUAUACAUUUUCCACUUGGCUUUCAGUGAUGCAUAAGACUUACUAAGAUUGGCAUACUAUAUAAAGGCCUCAAAAGGAGGUAUGUACUGUGUUAAGUUCUUUGCAUGCAUUAUCUCUAGUCGGUCCUUAAAUGGUGAAGCUGUACAGUGUAGGAAAGAUACAGUAUAAGGUAAUGAUUAAAAACUUACCCUAGAGGCAGAUACCUGGAUUAGAAUCCUAGUUCUUCCACGUAUUUGCUGUAUGAUUUUGAGCAAGCUACUUAAAUUAUAUUCUCUUCAGCAUUUUUUUUUGUAAAGUAGAGGUAAUAAUGUUUAUCAUUCUGGGCAUUUGUAAACUUAAAUAUAUUUUUAAAUAAAGAAUGCUUAAAACAUGCUUACUACAAAAUGAACCCUUAGUAAAUUAUGUACAAAUGUAAUAAGUUGGAUACACUUAAAAGGGUUAAUUAUAAUUCUUAAGUUCUCACAGUUUUAGUGGUGAAAAUGGGCCAAAAACCAAGAUCUGAUUUAAAAGUGAAAGUUCACGUUGAAUGCAUAUCCUAUAUACUGUCACUUUCCUUUCAUCUAAUUAAGUAUUUAGAACAAAUGAUUAUAUUUGCAGAAUACAUCUGUAGAGUAAUGUUUUAAAAGAAACAAAUGCCUCUGCCAUGCUAGUUGACAAAUGAUAUUUUAGCAAGGUGAUGCCUAGAAAAGAUGCUCUAAUAUUUGCAAUAAUCCCAAGGCAGCUUUUAACUCAUAAAUGAAAAUGGCUUUCCUCUGUAGAAAACUUGUCAAGUAACUGAUUAUUAUUAUCUUGUAAAGGCCAGUUGAUGUCUUCCUCAUUCAUAGCCCAACAAUGUUCCAAGGAGGAAGAGGUCAUUUAGAGAGAAACCUGAGACACUAAUCAAGUUGACUACAAGUGACUUUUUUCCUCAACAUCUCUUUCUUCAUGUAUUUUUUUAAAAAAGGUUUUAACUAGAUUAUCACUAAAAUCUGUUACAGGUGUUUUUCCAACUGCAUACCAUUACUAUCAGGGGAGAAAGGAGGGGAGAUGAUGAAAAAGCAUCUAGCUGUUCUGGCAAAAUUACCCAGAUCACAUACCUAACCCAACUUGUGUAUUAUUACUUAAUGUUUAACAAGAGGGAGCAAAGAUGUGUCAAAUUAAUUGUCUAAUAAUAAUCUUACAUAAGACAUAAGAUGACAUAAGACAAAGACUACAUUCAUAAAGGAAAUAAUGAACCCUCAUAUUUAUAAAAAGCUUUAGUUUAAAGUACUAUGUAAUAUGCAAAGACACACAGAGCGGUAUAUUAGACACUGAGACUCAGAAGAGGGGAGCAUGGGAGCAGUUGGAGGGAUCAAAAGCUAUUUAUUGGGUACAAUGUACACUGCUCGGGUGGCAGUUGUACUAAAAUUUCAGACUUUACUGCUAUAUAAUUCAUCCAUGUAACCAAAACCACUUGUAUCCCUAAAACUACUGAAAUAAAAAAU
rnacentral:lncRNA from 1 species